GACGAACGCUGGCGGCGUGCUUAACACAUGCAAGUCGAACGAAGUGGCGAACGGGUGAGUAACGCGUAAUCAACCUGCCCUUCAGAGGGGGACAAAAGUUGGAAACGACUGCUAAUACCGCAUACUGAAGGAGGGGAUUGCGUCUGAUUAGCUGGUUGGAGGGGUAACGGCCCAACAAGGGGAAGAUCAGUAGCCGGGCCGAGAGGAUUAACGGCCAAAUUUGGACUGGGACACGGCCCAGACUCCUACGGGAGGCAGCAGUGGGGAAUCUUCCGAAAUGGACGAAAGUCUGACGGAGCAACGCCGCGUGAGUGAUGACGGCCUUCGGGUUGUAAAGCUCUGUUAAUCGGGACGCGGUACCGGAAUAGAAAGCCACGGCUAACUCCGUGCCAGCAGCCGCGGUAAUAC
rnacentral:rRNA from 1 species